rnacentral:lncRNA from 1 species
CUCCCACUCAGCCUGGCCACACAGAGUGAGUUGGAAGACUGCUGAAUAUAAAUGACAUUUGGCUGGGUCCUUGUGAGGACAGUCAUUAAUAUUGCUAACAGGUCCAUGUGUUAAACUUGGCCCAACAUGGGCACCAGAUGCAUCCUCCCAGGCAACCUGGGGGCCCUUCUGAUGACUCCUCCAGGCCAGGCACACUGCAUCUGCUUGCAUUCAGGCAGCCUGGCCACUUGGCUCGAGACAGAGCGUCCAUGGCAAGAACGAACACUCUCCCAGUGAGGCUCUACUUCAUGAAAAAUGAAUGUAGCUGGGGAGGUUGAGUCCUGCUGGCAGAUCUGGUCUACAGAUGGUGUACUUCUUCUAAUGACUGGGGACAGCCGAUUGAAAGAUCAUCCAGGCCUACUUCUGCAGUCCCAGAGGAGUUAGAUAAAUUCAACAAGGAUUUAUAAUAAUUGCAUGCCUACUUUGUAUCUAGCCCUGUGAUCAGGAAAAUGGGCAAUCAGAGAUUCGGAAGAAAGAUGAACUAAGGCAUCCUUUGACAAAGGUGUGAUCUUAAAGCUGGACAGUGUGUAAUGAGAGGAGGAAAUAAAUUCCUCACUGUGGUCAAGGGUUAAACAUUUUUUAAUAAAUCUAAUAAAGGAUUCACAUACAUUAUUUCUUUUAAUAUUUGCAAUCGCCCUAUGAAUAGAUACUAAUAUCUCCGUUUUCCAGAUGAGGAAACCAAGGCUCAGAGGUUACACGGCUUCCCGCAGAGUCUGACACUCGAUAGAGUCAGGAUUUAAACCUCUGAUUCUGAAGGCCAUGUUAUGAGAUUGUACAUUAUCUCUUGAGGGCUAUUGAGUUCAAAUAAGUCAGGCUCAGAAUAUGACGAAUAAUAAGAAACAUUUCCAGAGUGCUCACUAGGCACCUGACAACUUCCUACGCCCUUUCCAUGGAAUAACUUAUUUAACUUACAGCAACCCCAUCAGUUCGGUACUAAUAUACCCUCACUUUAUACAUCACCAGAUAUGUCAUGUGAAUAUCAUGACCCCAUCAUGUAAGGUGACUGGAAGGGCUCUGGAGUUUAAUUCCAGUGUAAUCAUGAGGAAACAACAUCAGACUU